UAAAUGGGCAAAGUAACAACAUGAAGUUAACAGUAGUGUGUUUAAUCGUGGCAAUCCUGAUCUGCGCCAUCCAGGCCCGUCCAAAUGAUGAUGACAAAGAAUAUGUAUUUGAUUUAAUGGACUAUGAUGGUCGUAUUGACGACGAAGUAUAUUCAUUUGAUAUAAUGGACUAUGAUGGUCGUUUUGGGAUAUACUCUAAGUGAUGACAAGUAAAUGAUAAAUCAGUAGAGGAUUGUUUAUCCCAUUGAAUCCAAAAUAUUAACGCCGCCUACUCCAAAACCAUCUACUGAUAUCCCAAAAGUCACUGAUGCAAUUGAUUCAAAUUUCUGCGAAGGGAAGUUAAUUAAUAUAAUAAACACAGCUGUAUGUAGUGGAGAGUGACAUAAGCCUCUCGUAGCUAUCUGUAGUAAAGCCACUGAUAUUGUAUAGUGUAUUUACAUAUUUUUUAGCCUAACAAAUAAUCGUUAGAAAACGAUAUUUACAGACUAGAAAAAUAUGUGAGAUACAAGUGGCAACUACUCUUUUACCGUUGUUAUUCAAAAUAAUAAACGCAAAAUAAAAUACAAUUAAUGAAAA